rnacentral:rRNA from 1 species
GAUGAACGCUAGCGACAGGCCUAACACAUGCAAGUCGAGGGGCAGCACAAGGAGCAAUCUGAGGUGGCGACCGGCGCACGGGUGAGUAACACGUAUGCAACCUGCCUUCAACAAGGGGAUAACCCGUUGAAAGACGGACUAAUACCCUAUAACACAGGGGUCCCGCAUGGGAAUAUUUGUUAAAGGACAACCGGUUGAAGAUGGGCAUGCGUUCCAUUAGCUAGUUGGCGGGGUAACGGCCCACCAAGGCAACGAUGGAUAGGGGAACUGAGAGGUUUAUCCCCCACACUGGUACUGAGACACGGACCAGACUCCUACGGGAGGCAGCAGUGAGGAAUAUUGGUCAAUGGGCGAGAGCCUGAACCAGCCAAGUCGCGUGCAGGAAGAAUGUCCUAUGGAUUGUAAACUGCUUUUGCAGGGGAAUAAAGUGAGCCACGUGUGGUUUUUUGUAUGUACUCUGCGAAUAAGGAUCGGCUAACUCCGUGCCAGCAGCCGCGGUAAAU